CUAAAGACUGAGUUUUCCUAUGAAGAAGUUGAUGUGAUGGAAGUGAUUUUGAACCUGCGCCGGAACAGAGCACACAUGGUGGAUUCACUUGAAAAGGCGGAAAAUCUGGUCAUGGCUUUCAUUUAUUAUCUCAAGCUUGCAGUCAGUACAACUCGAGGAAUUGCGUUCGACCUAACAGUGUGUGAUG